UACAGAGGGUGCGAGCGUUGUCCGGAAUCACUGGGCGUAAAGGGCGCGUAGGUGGCGGCCCAAGUCCAUGGUGAAAGCUCGAUGCUCAACAUCGAGUCGGCCACGGAUACUGGGUUGCUCGAGCACUGUAGGGGCAGAUGGAAUUCCGGGUGUAGCGGUGGAAUGCGUAGAGAGUCCGGAAGAACACCGGUGGCGAAGGCGGUCUGCUGGGCGAGUUGCUGGAC
rnacentral:rRNA from 1 species